CGCUGAGGUCUCGGCGCACCUGAUCCAGCAUGCCGCGUGUGCGAAGAAGGCCUUCGGGUUGUAAAGCACUUUUGUCAGGGAAGAAAUCCUUUGGGCUAAUACCCUAGGGGGAUGACGGUACCUGAAGAAUAAGCACCGGCUAACUACGUGCCAGCAGCCGCGGUAAUACGUAGGGUGCAAGCGUUAAUCGGAAUUACUGGGCGUAAAGCGUGCGCAGGCGGUUGUGUAAGACAGGUGUGAAAUCCCCGGGCUUAACCUGGGAAUUGCAUUUGUGACUGCACGACUAGAGUGUGUCAGAGGGGGGUGGAAUUCCACGUGUAGCAGUGAAAUGCGUAGAUAUGUGGAGGAACACCAAUGGCGAAGGCAGCCCCCUGGGAUAACACUGACGCUCAUGCACGAAAGCGUGGGGAGCAAACAGGAUUAGAUACCCUGGUAGUCCACGCCCUAAACGAUGUCAACUAGUUGUUGGGGAUUUACUUCCUUGGUAACGUAGCUAACGCGUGAAGUUGACCGCCUGGGGAGUACGGCCGCAAGGUUAAAACUCAAUAAAUUUUGACGGA
rnacentral:rRNA from 1 species